rnacentral:rRNA from 1 species
UCAGGAUGAACGCUAGCUACAGGCUUAACACAUGCAAGUCGAGGGGCAGCAUGUGGUUGCUUGCAACCAAUGAUGGCGACCGGCGCACGGGUGAGUAACGCGUAUCCAACCUUCCCUAUAGUAGAGGAUAGCCCGGCGAAAGUCGGAUUAAUACUCUAUGUUUUCCAAUGCAGACAUCUAAAAUGGAACAAAGGUUUACCGCUAUAGGAUGGGGGAUGCGUCUGAUUAGAUAGUCGGCGGGGUAACGGCCCACCGAGUCGACGAUCAGUAGGGGUUCUGAGAGGAAGGUCCCCCCACAUUGGAACUGAGACACGGUCCAAACUCCUACGGGAGGCAGCAGUGAGGAAUAUUGGUCAAUGGGCGAGAGCCUGAACCAGCCAAGUAGCGUGCAGGAUGACGGCCCUAUGGGUUGUAAACUGCUUUUAUACAGGGAUAAAGUGACGUACGUGUACGUUUUUGUAGGUACUGUAUGAAUAAGGACCGGCUAAUUCCGUGCCAGCAGCCGC